GAGAGCCAGAUCCUCAGGCCAAGACUUUCCCUUGAGCUUUGCGCGGCUUCAGAGCAUCACCUCCCAAGAUAGGUACCAAGUCAAUUACGGGCACUCUGCCAUUAUGCUCUUCCUCGGCCACCAUCCCCAUCCGGCCCCAGAGCUCUGACCCUCCUGGGCCUCCACCCAUCUUCAACACGCUGCAGAUUCAGGACUGGGGAAGGAAGUCGGAUGGACCUGUGCUGGGAUUUAACAAACUCUUUGGGGACCUUGAUUCUCAGGAAAGAAUGGCAGUGACCCAACAUGGAUUAGGGACCCGGUCGGGAAAUUCUACAAACAUAAAGAUCACUAGCUUGUGUGAACCUGUCUAUCAGGCUGGGACAGGAUACGAGGGGGGAAGAAUCAAGUUGCCACCGAGUGCUCUAUCAAUAAAGAUGCUGUCUCAAAAUUGGUCUGUUUGUUUUCCACUGACCCUAUGGCUGAAGACAUCCUUGACUUGCAUCUGAAUACUUUCUAGUUAUCCAAUGUUACAUCAUCAGGUUAACAGAUAUGGAGAUCUCCACCAGGAUUUGGAGAAUAGUUGUCAAUGGCACUGAAGUUCUGGACUAGGUUUGUUACGAAAGUUGGUGGUCCCAUGGUGCCUGGAUUAGAUUCCUGUCUGCACUAGACUGUGAUAGAAAAGGAGCAUUGUGAGCACUGGUAACCUCCCAUUCAGAUCGGCAUGCCCCUCCUCUGUCACUUCCCUGACCUCUGCCUGGUGUGGAUUCCCAGAAGGUGCAGCUGCUAAUGCUGGGUCCCUGCAGCACUUACCUCUGCAGUCACAAGCACAAAGCUGCCUCACUAAUCUUGUUUUUAAUAGGACUGUAUUGUUAAAACAGACUAGAGAAGGGUCAUUGGUAUCAAGUUUGGAUCCAUGUAAAAGCCCUGUGUAAGCAAACACGCACAGAGAUGAGUAGUGGGCUGUUAUUAGGUGCUUGCGGCUACCCUGCUACCGCUGCCAUCUCCCAGUGGAUUAUGUGAAUGGCUCCUGGGCUCUGUUCUUCCUCAGCUGCAUCCCAUUGUUCACCCAGUGCCCUAAGCAGAGUCUUAAAAUAUAACUCAGAUUUUGUCACUCACCUUCAUGAAAUCCUUUAGAGGAUUUCUUUCAACCUAAAAUAAGAUCCAAACAUUUUACCAUGACCUCCAAGUCACUCCCAGGCUGUCUUUUCCUGUCACUUCACCUCUUUAUCCCUCUAUUACAUCCUCGAGAGAUCUGUUGUCAAAUACCCUGCACUGAUCCCACAGAGCCUUCAUGGUUCCUUUUUUGCUUGGCACACUUUUGCCCAUAGCUCUCCAAAGCCGAUGUCAGUUUUGAUUGUCAGGUUCGUGACUUCACUAUCUCAUCUUGAGAAUGACCUUCCUGCCUACCAGGUCAAAUGUCCUACAUGUACAGUCCCUGUUUAACUAACUAUUCUGCAGUUGUAACCUUCAUAGGUGACACUAUAUGGAAUUUAUUUUUUAAUUCAUCAUGUGUGUCUUAUUAGAAUAUGAAAUGAUGUGAACUGAAACUUGAAUGGGAAUGAGCCUAGAAACAAGUCACCCUUGUUUUUUGUGGUGUCCCUAUACCAGAACACUGCCUGCCAUAUAGACACGUGGCAUAUUUAUUUAGUGACUAUACAGACUUUAGUUAUGUUGAUUACCAAACAGUAAGUGAAAUAUAAGUGCAUUAUGAAAGUGAUAUAACUGGGUGGUGGUGGCUCAUGCCUUUAAUCCCAGCACUUGGAAGGCAGAGACAGGCUGAUGUCUGUGAGUUCAAGGUCAAGCUAGUCUACAAAACAAGUUCCAAGACAGUUGGAUCAGUUACACAGAGAAACUCUGUCUCAAAAGAAAAGGUAAUUCAUGUAUUUUAUUACCAUUUGUACUUUUUGAUAAUUGUAGUAAUAAUUUACUGCUCCCCUAGGGGCUUUUAGUGAUUAGUUUUGGACACUUGAAGAAAAAGUUGUCUGAAGAAUUCCUUGUCUGAUCAAAUCAUAGAAGCUGGCCAGAUACAACAGCACAUGCCUGUAGUUCUAGCUUUAGAACUCAGGAGCCUGAGGCAGGGAGUACUUAACUCUGAGACCAUCCUGAGAUGCAUAAAAAGUUGCACAGUCGGGCCUACAUAGCUUGGCCCAGCCUCAGUAAAUACAAAGCAAAAUUUGAGGGUAAUAAUUUUCCACACAUGUGACUGCUCUUCUCUCUAAUAAUAACAUUUUUAUUCUUUACAUACUCUAUGAAGAAAUUUUAACUUUUUAGAGACUUAAACCUUUUGCCUGUAAACAUCUGUUCUCCUUCUUUGAAAGAAAUGAAUAAAAGACUAAGGAUGUGGCCAUA